rnacentral:tRNA from 1 species
GCGGAGAUGGCACAACGGUCACUGCAUUCGGCUGCAGCCCGAAUUUUUCCGGGUUCAACUCCCGGUCUCCGCU